AUUGAACGCUGGCGGCAUGCCUUACACGUGCAAGUCGAACGGUAACGGGCCUUCGGGUGCCGACGAGUGGCGAACGGGUGAGUAAUGCAUCGGAACGUACCUUUCAGUGGGGGAUAACGUAGCGAAAGUUACGCUAAUACCGCAUAUUCUGUGAGCAGGAAAGCAGGGGAUCGCAAGACCUUGCGCUGAUUGAGCGGCCGAUGUCAGAUUAGCUAGUUGGUGAGGGAAAGGCUCACCAAGACGACGAUCUGUAGCGGGUCUGAGAGGAUGAUCCGCCACACUGGAACUGAGCCACGGUCCAGACUCCUACGGGAGGCAGCAGUGGGGAAUUUUGGACAAUGGGGGCAACCCUGAUCCAGCCAUGCCGCGUGAGUGAAGAAGGCCUUCGGGUUGUAAAGCUCUUUCGGCCGGGAAGAAAUCGUAUGGGCUAAUACCCUGUGCGGAUGACGGUACCGGCAUAAGAAGCACCGGCUAACUCUGUGCCAGCCGCCGCGGUAACAC
rnacentral:rRNA from 1 species